AUUGAACGCUGGCGGCAGGCCUAACACAUGCAAGUCGAGCGGAUGACGGGAGCUUGCUCCUUGAUUCAGCGGCGGACGGGUGAGUAAUGCCUAGGAAUCUGCCUGGUAGUGGGGGACAACGUUUCGAAAGGAACGCUAAUACCGCAUACGUCCUACGGGAGAAAGCAGGGGACCUUCGGGCCUUGCGCUAUCAGAUGAGCCUAGGUCGGUAUUAGCUAGUUGGUGGGGUAAUGGCUCACCAAGGCGACGAUCCGUAACUGGUCUGAGAGGAUGAUCAGUCACACUGGAACUGAGACACGGUCCAGACUCCUACGGGAGGCAGCAGUGGGGAAUAUUGGACAGUGGGCGAGAGCCUGAUCCAGCCAUGCCGCGUGUGUGAAGAAGGUCUUCGGAUUGUAAAGCACUUUAAGUUGGGAGGAAGGGCAGUAAGCUAAUACCUUGCUGUUUUGACGUUACCGACAAAAUAAGCACCGGCUAACUCUGUGCCAGCCGCCGCAGUAA
rnacentral:rRNA from 1 species